CCCUACGGGGGGCAGCAGUGGGGAAUAUUGCACAAUGGGGGAAACCCUGAUGCAGCGACGCCGCGUGAGUGAAGAAGUAUCUCGGUACGUAAAGCUCUAUCAGCAGGGAAGAAAAAAAGUCUUUGGCUUUGGACGGUACCUGACUAAGAAGCCCCGGCUAACUACGUGCCAGCAGCCGCGGUAAUACGUAGGGGGCAAGCGUUAUCCGGAUUUACUGGGUGUAAAGGGAGCGUAGGCGGUGCAGCAAGUCAGAAGUGAAAGCCCGGGGCUCAACUCCGGGACUGCUUUUGAAACUGUUGAACUAG
rnacentral:rRNA from 1 species